rnacentral:rRNA from 1 species
GGCGUGCCUAACACAUGCAAGUCGAACGGAGAACUCAAAAAGCUUGCUUUGAGAGUUCUUAGUGGCGGACGGGUGAGUAACGCGUGGGCAACCUCCCCCUUAAACCGGGACAACCCUUGGAAACGAGGGCUAAUACCGGAUACACUUUUCUGAGGACAUCCUCGGGAAAGGAAAGGCGGCCUCUGAAGAUGCUGCCGAUAAGGGAUGGACCCGCGUCUGAUUAGCUUGUUGGUGGGGUAAAGGCCUACCAAGGCGACGAUCAGUAGCCGGCCUGAGAGGGUGAACGGCCACACUGGGACUGAGACACGGCCCAGACUCCUACGGGAGGCAGCAGUGGGGAAUCUUCCGCAAUGGACGAAAGUCUGACGGAGCAACGCCGCGUGUAUGACGAAGGCCUUCGGGUUGUAAAGUACUGUCUUUAGGGACGAACGGUAUCUAUGUGAACAAUGUAGGUACAUGACGGUACCUAAGGAGGAAGCCCCGGCUAACUACGUGCCAGCAGCCGCGGUAAUACGUAGGGGGCGAGCGUUGUCCGGAAUCAUUGGGCGUAAAGGGCGCGUAGGCGGAUUUUUAAGUCUGGUGUGAAAACUUGGGGCUCAACCCCAAGCCUGCAUCGGAAACUGGGAAUCUUGA